ACACGUAUGAAAGACAAGCUGAAAGACUUUUCUCAAUGAUGUAAGUGGUGGUGCAUGGUCGUUCUUAGUUCGUGGAUUGAUUUGUCUGGUCUAUUCCGAUAACGAGCGAGAUCCUAGCGUUCCUAAUAGGUUUUUUAGCCCAGCGACAGGUAUUAAAGCCGACUGCUAGCUAUAAUUCUUAUACUUCUUGGACGGAUCAGAGCCGAUAAGGUUCUUGAAAUGGGUUAAUAACAGGUCAGUCAUGCCCUUAGAUGUUCUGGGCCGCACGCGCGUUACAAUGGUAAACACAGAAAGUGCCUCUUUUAGAGCCUUCCGGUACCUAACGGCGUCGGUAAACAUUAGUCUUUUCCCUGACUGGGAUAGACUAUUGUAAUUAUUGGUCUUCAACGAGGAAUUUUUAGUAGUCGCAGGUCAUUAACCUGCGACGA
rnacentral:rRNA from 1 species